CUUGCAGGGUACUCGAGUGGCGAACGGGUGAGUAACACGUGGGUGAUCUGCCCUGCACUUCGGGAUAAGCUUGGGAAACUGGGUCUAAUACCGGAUAGGAGCCAUCUUUAGUGUGGUGGUUGGAAAGUUUUUCGGUGUAGGAUGAGCUCGCGGCCUAUCAGCUUGUUGGUGGGGUAAUGGCCUACCAAGGCGGCGACGGGUAGCCGGCCUGAGAGGGUGUACGGCCACAUUGGGACUUAGAUACGGCCCAG
rnacentral:rRNA from 1 species